rnacentral:rRNA from 1 species
GGGAUAUUGCACAAUGGAGGGAACUCUGAUGCGGCGAUGCCGCGUGGAGGAAGAAGGUUUUCGGAUUGUAAACUCCUGUUUCGAGGGACGAUAAUGACGGUACCUCGGGAGGAAGCUCCGGCUAACUACGUGCCAGCAGCCGCGGUAAUACGUAGGGAGCGAGCGUUGUCCGGAAUUACUGGGUGUAAAGGGAGCGCAGGCGGGAUUGCAAGUCAGGUGUGAAAAACGUGGGCUCAACCCACGGACUGCACUUGAAACUGUAGUUCUUGAGGGAAGUAGAGGUAAGCGGAAUUCCUGGUGUAGCGGUGAAAUGCGUAGAUAUCAGGAGGAACAUCGGUGGCGAAGGCGGCUUACUGGGCUUUUACUGACGCUGAGGCUCGAAAGCGUGGGAGCAAACA